rnacentral:rRNA from 1 species
GAUGAACGCUGGCGGCGUGCUUAACACAUGCAAGUCGAACGGAAAGGCCCAAGCUUGCUUGGGUACUCGAGUGGCGAACGGGUGAGUAACACGUGGGUGAUCUGCCCUGCACUUCGGGAUAAGCCUGGGAAACUGGGUCUAAUACCGGAUAGGACGAUGGUUUGGAUGCCAUUGUGGAAAGUUUUUUUGGUGUGGGAUGAGCUCGCGGCCUAUCAGCUUGUUGGUGGGGUAAUGGCCUACCAAGGCGUCGACGGGUAGCCGGCCUGAGAGGGUGUACGGCCACAUUGGGACUGAGAUACGGCCCAGACUCCUACGGGAGGCAGCAGUGGGGAAUAUUGCACAAUGGGCGCAGGCCUGAUGCAGCGACGCCGCGUGGGGGAUGACGGCCUUCGGGUUGUAAACUCCUUUCGCUAGGGACGAAGCGUUUUUGUGACGGUACCUGGAGAAGAAGCACCGGCUAACUACGUG